GGGCGCGUGGCCUAGCCAGGAUAGGGCGCUGGCCUUCUAAGCCAGUGGUCGCGGGUUCGAAUCCCGCCGCGUCCG
rfam:Candidatus Cloacimonas sp. 4484_209 ex4484_209_scaffold_3983, whole genome shotgun sequence.